ACCUAAAUGGCAGAAAAUAUGCACAGGCUUUAAAAGCCUGAGAUGUCAAAGACUUUAGGGU
rnacentral:tRNA from 1 species